UCUCCAGUCUGUAUCAAUGAGUGGCUCACCGUGCAUGCAUCUAUCCUUCAGCCUGUGAAUAGGCAAAUUCUGCUGCUUGGGCUGUCCUUUCCUCCACAGAAUGUUUUAGAUGGAAAGCCUGCCUCCAGCAUACCCUCACUUUUGUGAGGGCUUCUUUCAUCUUCUCAUUUUUCAUAAUGAGGGAUUCAAAGUCUUUGAGUAAAACUGAAAGGUCAGCUGAAAAGUCCUUUUUAUGACUGUAAUUCUAGUUUGUACAGAAUCUUAAAUCAAGCAUCACACUUGGCAUAACAACUCAGUGCAACUAAAAUUAAUAUCUGAGAAAUGUAUUCAUGUUUCCAAAACAGUUAAGGAUGAAGUUGUAAUUUCUUUCCUCUUAGAUCUAGGUCAAAAAUGUCAGUGCCUAUUAAAGAGAUGCAGCUUGUAAAACAAACAAACAAACAAACAACAAACAAACAAAACAAAACAAAACAAAACAAAAAAAACCAAAAACAAACAAACAAAAAAAACACCACACAAUAUAGAGUGUGUUAACACUUUCCAGUGAGUCCAUCACUGCAUCAUUGUAAGUCUUAAGCAGGAGAGAGAUGCUACCAUCCAUCAUAUACAGGCUAUGAGCACAUGUCAGAGAAGAGAAUUUAGAGAAAUCAGUAGAGAGAAAAUGCAUGCUGAAUGUUGCUAUCCAAACAGACUUUUGAUAUAAUUUAAUAUUUCGUCCUUUUUUCUUUUUUCAUUAUGAAGAGAAAUUGGUUCAAGUUCUUCAUUCCAAACAAUAGAAUAAAAACAGCUUUUAGCCUAAGGUAAUUACUCAUUAUCAUAAUCUUCACAAGAACCUCCUCAGAUGGACAUGAGUGUACCUGGGGAUGUUCAAUCAGAUUGAAUGGAUAUUUUCUUCUUGCUAAUUAAAGCUGGGAAGUUUGGUUUGAAAUAAAUUAGA